rnacentral:rRNA from 1 species
AUGGCACGAACAGACACUACAAACACGCACAAUUUCACCGCUGAACACAUCUGGCUAAGACGACGACUAACAGACGACGACGCACAGAGCUUAGGCCCUCUCUCCACGGAUGCGGCGGGCGAGCUGGAUGUCCUUGGGCAUGAUGGUGACGCGCUUGGCGUGGAUGGCGCAGAGGUUGGUGUCCUCGAAGAGCCCCACGAGGUAGGACUCGGCGGCCUCCUGCAGGGCGGAGACGGCGGAGGACUGGAAGCGGAGGUCGGUCUUGAAGUCCUGGGCGAUCUCCCUCACCAGGCGCUGGAAGGGUAG